rnacentral:rRNA from 1 species
AACGAACGCUGGCGGCAUGCCUAACACAUGCAAGUCGAACGAAGGCUUCGGCCUUAGUGGCGCACGGGUGCGUAACGCGUGGGAAUCUGCCCAGAGCUACGGAAUAACCCCUCGAAAGGGGUGCUAAUACCGUAUGAUGUCGCAAGACCAAAGAUUUAUCGGCUUUGGAUGAGCCCGCGUAGGAUUAGCUAGUUGGUGGGGUAAAGGCCUACCAAGGCGACGAUCCUUAGCUGGUCUGAGAGGAUGAUCAGCCACACUGGGACUGAGACACGGCCCAGACUCCUACGGGAGGCAGCAGUGGGGAAUAUUGGACAAUGGGCGAAAGCCUGAUCCAGCAAUGCCGCGUGAGUGAUGAAGGCCUUAGGGUUGUAAAGCUCUUUUACCCGGGAAGAUAAUGACUGUACCGGGAGAAUAAGCCCCGGCUAACUCCGUG